GGCUCCAAAGACAUAACUGCCGAC
rnacentral:siRNA from 1 species